rnacentral:rRNA from 1 species
UGGGGAAUUUGGACAAUGGCGAAAGCCUGAUCCAGCAAUGCCGCGUGUGUGAAGAAGGCCUUCGGUUGUAAAGCACUUUUGUCCGGAAAGAAAUCCUUGGCUCUAAUACAGUCGGGGGAUGACGGUACCGGAAGAAUAAGCACCGGCUAACUACGUGCCAGCAGCCGCGGUAAUACGUAGGGUGCAAGCGUUAAUCGGAAUUACUGGGCGUAAAGCGUGCGCAGGCGGUUUGCUAAGACCGAUGUGAAAUCCCCGGGCUCAACCUGGGAACUGCAUUGGUGACUGGCAGGCUAGAGUAUGGCAGAGGGGGGUAGAAUUCCACGUGUAGCAGUGAAAUGCGUAGAGAUGUGGAGAAUA